ACCCUCAGCAAUUGACAAAGAAACACCUUGCUGGUGAUGGGGUUCUUCUAUCAGUCAGGGGCAGAGCAGAUGGCAGUCCUUUGUUCACCACAGCUUCAUGCCUGGCUUGGUGGCCAAAGCUGUUUUAUGCCUAGGACACAUAA